rnacentral:rRNA from 1 species
GUGCCAGCAGCCGCGGUAAUACGGAGGGUGCAAGCGUUAUCCGGAUUUAUUGGGUUUAAAGGGUCCGUAGGCGGAUCUGUAAGUCAGUGGUGAAAUCUCAUAGCUUAACUAUGAAACUGCCAUUGAUACUGCAGGUCUUGAGUAAAGUAGAAGUGGCUGGAAUAAGUAGUGUAGCGGUGAAAUGCAUAGAUAUUACUUAGAACACCAAUUGCGAAGGCAGGUCACUAUGUUUUAACUGACGCUGAUGGACGAAAGCGUGGGGAGCGAACAGGAUUAGAAACCCGCGUAGUCC